GGUGGAAGGGUGUGCCAGAGGAAAGGAUUGAACUUGAGUCCUUGUGCUUGUGCAGCAGGCGGCGAAACCACUCAGCCACCUGUGAUGGCUCCUGUGACUGGGAAGGUGAUACUGCUGAUGUCUACAAAGAGAAGCCUUCAAAGAAACUUGCGUCUUCUGAGGGUGCCAGGAUGCCAUUGAGGAUCACCAUGGCAGAUGUAUAUUGUCCUCGUGUAUGUCUGCCUGGACUCUCCAGCUGCUUAAACAUUGUGUCAGUACAGUGUCAUAUGGGCUCCAAAAAUAACCUCAAUGGGAGCUAAAACUAUUUCAUCAGCAAGGAAAUAAUGUGACCUUGGGUACUGAAUCUCUGCAGACAUGUCACCGAUGGAUGGAAUUUUGUACUCCU
ensembl:lncRNA